CAAGUGAGGCUACCAAACGCUGGAAACAGCGGUUAGGAGCUUACACCCACCCGUGUUUACAUACUAUUGUUGCUUUGGCAGGCCGUGGCCUCCACUGCGGGCUCUGCUCGUGUGUGUCCGCCAGAGGAUCAAACUCUGAAUGUUAGUGAUGUCUGAGUACUAUCUAAUAGUUA
rnacentral:misc_RNA from 1 species